rnacentral:rRNA from 1 species
UGGGGAAUAUUGCACAAUGGGCGCAAGCCUGAUGCAGCCUUGCCGCGUGUGUGAAGAAGGCCUUCGGGUUGUAAAGCACUUUCAGCGGGGAGGAAGGCGAUAAGGUUAAUAACCUUGUCGAUUGACGUUACCCGCAGAAGAAGCACCGGCUAACUCCGUGCCAGCAGCCGCGGUAAUACGUAGGGCGCGAGCGUUGUCCGGAAUUAUUGGGCGUAAAGGGCUUGUAGGCGGGUUGUUGCGCCUGCUGUGAAAACGCGGGGCUUAACUUCGCGCGUGCAGGGGGUAAGGGCAGGCUUGAGUGUGGUAGGGGUGACUGGAAUUCCAGGUGUAGCGGUGGAAUGCGCAGAUAUCUGGAGGAACACCGAUGGCGAAGGCAGGUCACUGAGCCAUUACUGACGCUGAGGAGCGAAAGCAUGGGUAGCGAACAGG